rnacentral:rRNA from 1 species
GGCACUCUAAGUUGACUGCCGGUGACAAACCGGAGGAAGGUGGGGAUGACGUCAAAUCAUCAUGCCCCUUAUGAUUUGGGCUACACACGUGCUACAAUGGACAAUACAAAGGGCAGCGAAACCGCGAGGUCAAGCAAAUCCCAUAAAGUUGUUCUCAGUUCGGAUUGUAGUCUGCAACUCGACUAUAUGAAGCUGGAAUCGCUAGUAAUCGUAGAUCAGCAUGCUACGGUGAAUA